UACGAAGGUGGCGAGCGUUGUUCGGAAUCACUGGGCAUAAAGAGCACGUAGGCGGCUAAGUCAGUCGGAUGUGAAAUACCUCGGCUCAACCGAGGAACUGCGUCCGAUACUGCUUGGCUUGAGGUCCGGAGGGGAGAGUGGAAUUCCCGGUGGAGCGGUGAAAUGCGUAGAUAUUGGGAGGAACACCAGUGGCGAAGGCGGCUCACUGGACUGGUACUGACGCUGAGGCGCGAAAGCGUGGGGAGCAAACAGG
rnacentral:rRNA from 1 species